rnacentral:rRNA from 1 species
UACGUAGGGUGCAAGCGUUGUCCGGAAUUAUUGGGCGUAAAGAGCUCGUAGGCGGUUUGUCGCGUCUGCUGUGAAAACCCGAGGCUCAACCUCGGGCCUGCAGUGGGUACGGGCAGACUAGAGUGCGGUAGGGGGAGAUUUGGAAUUCCUGGUGUAGCGGUCGGAAUGCGCAGAUAUCAGGAGGAACACCGAUGGCGAAGGCAGAUCUCUGGGCCGUAACUGACGCUGAGGAGCGAAAGCAUGGGGAGCGAACAGG